rnacentral:lncRNA from 1 species
AAAAAAGCGUUGGUUCAAUGGGGCAGCCCAGCUAUCCAUGAUGGAUCCGGAUGGCACCGACCCGUUAUCCUUCCACUGCCAAGAGCGGGAGGUAAUCGUUGCUCUGUGAAACCAGCCUUACGCGGUUCCAUCCGCUCUAGAAAUCGUGUAGCCUAGAGCCUUCGCUCAAGCCACACAACUCAACUCCUAGCUUGGAAUGGGCAGGCCGGAAUAGAGCCACUCCAGACCCGAACAGCCAACGCUGAACCAAUGUUCCAACACCUCAAUGCCCCCACUUGGGUUACAAGCUUGCGUUACCAAGCUCGACGAUUAUUCAUCCUUGUGCUGGUAUUAUGAAGAACAGUUUUGCACUUCACUUGCCCGAUGUGGGACUGUUUAACUAGCUUAAAUUUAUGUAUGUACUUUAGAAAAAUUUAAUUAUUAUUAUCAAAGAGAGGGAUGAUUCAAAACUAUUAUAAUAAUUUAAUCGAUGAAGAGUUUUGAAAUGUUAAAUAAGCAAUUGGAUCACCAUGUUUUUGAAAUGUUAGACAGAUUUCUAGCUGCUCGACAAAUACUUCUUUGGUCUUGAAUAUUUUGUUGUAGGCAAUGGAGCGACGGUACGCGUAUGACAGGAUAGGUGGCUUCCGAGGCCGAAUACAUUCAAAGUGUUAUCAGUGGCACCAGUUUCGCAGAAACAUAUGAGGGUGCAGGACCUACUUGAUCCGGUAAGCAAGUCUUUGAGCCUCGAAGUUUUAUCUGCGUUAUUUUUGGAGGAAGAGGUGAAUCUUAUACGCACUAUGCCUACUAGUAUUUGUAUGCCGGCGGAUUGUUUCAUGAGCGGGGAUUCAGAACAUUGAAAGUUCCAACAUUUCAAUCAAUAAUUCCACUCGUUGGUGAUCAAAUUACUGAUUACCUAACAAAUGAACAAAAAAAGCAUUGGUUCAAUUUAGGCAGCCCAGCUAUCCAUGAUGGAACUGGAUGGCACCGACCUGUUAUCCUUCCACUACUAAGAGCAGGAGGUUGUCACGGUUCCCUCUGCUCUAGAAAUUGUAUAGCCCAGAGCCUUUGCUCAGGCCACACAACUCAACUCCUAGCUUGGAAUAAAGCCACUCCAGACGCAAACAACUAACUCUGAACCAAUUUUCCAACACUUCAAUGCCACCACUUGGGUUACAAGCUUGCGUUACUAAUCACGGCGAUUAUUCAUCCUUCUGCUGGUAUUAUGAAGAGCAAUUUGUGCUUCACUUUGCCGAUGUGGGACUAUUUAACUAGCUUAAAUUUAUUUAUUUAUUAUAGAAAUUUUUAUUAUUUUUAAGAGGAGGGGUAGGGUUCAAAACUAUUAUAAUAAUUUGAGCGAAGGGAAGUUUCGAACCAAUGACGCAUAGGUAAAAAUCAAAUACCCUACCCACUAAGAUAUUCAACCACAUGCUACCACCUUCAAUUUAUGAGUAUGCAUCAAGGGUCUAAUUGUAAGCUCAACUUUUGGGCAUUAUGCAAGUUCAGAUAAGCAAUUGAAUCACCAUGUUCAAGCACACAGACAGAUUUCUAGCUGCUCCACAAGUACUUGUUGGCCUUCAAUAUUUUGUUUUUCAAGAUAAAAGAUGGGAAGUAAAGUUCACAAGGACAUGCAUUGACUUGAAUCAUGAUUGAAUGGACCUGGUAAUGCAUAUCUGUGUGUCUCAUUCGGGGGAGAGACUCUCGUGUAACCGGAGAGGCAAAUAUAUACUAGACAGUUGAUACACUAUUUGAACACAUAACGAUCAUUCAUUAGAUCGAGAAAGCCACUAAGACUGUAAUGGU